CAGCCGCCGCGGUAAUACGAAGGGGGCUAGCGUUGUUCGGAAUCACUGGGCGUAAAGCGUGCGUAGGUGGUGGUUUAAGUCCGUUGUGAAAGCCCUGGGCUCAACCUGGGAAUUGCAGUGGAUACUGGGUCACUAGAGUGUGGUAGAGGAUAGUAGAAUUUCCGGUGUAGCAGUGAAAUGCGUAGAGAUCGGAAGGAACAUCUGUGGCGAAGGCGACUAUCUGGGCCAACACUGACACUGAGGCACGAAAGCGUGGGGAGCAAACAGGAUUAGAUACCCCAGUAGUCCCUGUCUCUUAUAC
rnacentral:rRNA from 1 species